UACAGAGGGGGCAAGCGUUAUUCGGAAUUAUUGGGCGUAAAGGACGCGUAGGCGGCUUUGCAAGUGACGGGUGAAAUCCCUCGGCUUAACCGAGGAACUGCCUGUCAAACUGCAUGGCUUGAGACCGGGAGAGGUGAGUGGAAUUCCCAGUGUAGCGGUGAAAUGCGUAGAUAUUGGGAGGAACACCAGUGGCGAAGGCGGCUCACUGGACCGGUACUGACGCUGAUGCGCGAAAGCGUAGGGAGCAAACAGG
rnacentral:rRNA from 1 species